rnacentral:rRNA from 1 species
CAGUAGCCGCGGUAAUACGAAGGGUGCAAGCGUUAAUCGGAAUUACUGGGCGUAAAGCGUGCGUAGGCGGUGAGUUAAGUCUGCUGUGAAAUCCCCGGGCUCAACCUGGGAAUGGCAGUGGAUACUGGCUCGCUAGAGUGUGUCAGAGGAUGGUGGAAUUCCCGAUGUAGCGGUGAAAUGCGUAGAGAUCGGGAGGAACAUCAGUGGCGAAGGCGGCCAUCUGGGACAACACUGACGCUGAGGCACGAAAGCGUGGGGAGCAAACAGGAUUAGAUACCCGCGUAGUCCCUGUCUCUUAUAC